GAGCUCAUCACCGGCAAAAUAGAAAAUGGUUGAUGCUCUAGUCUCUUCAACAGAGAACAAGAGACGUGAGAGAGGAGGAAGACAAUGGGUUCCUCGUAUUUAGGUUUUGUUAUAUGUAUUAAGGCCAUCCAUUUCGGCAAAUUCCUCUUCUCACGCUAACCGGAGUUCUACUUCCUCCUCCCUGCAAGACCGGCCCUCACCUCCAUGGACGGCGAUUUUGAUCUGUAAAAAUAUGAUAUGUCACCGUUAGAGCCUCUUCCUCUUUGUACCAA